AUUGAACGCUGGCGGCAGGCCUAACACAUGCAAGUCGAACGAGUGGCGGACGGGUGAGUAAUGUCUGGGAAACUGCCCGCUGGAGGGGGGUAACUACUGGAAACGGUAGCUAAUACCGCAUAGCAUGGGAUGUGCCCAGAUGGGAUUAGCUAGUGGGUGGGGUAACGGCUCACCUAGGCGACGAUCCCUAGCUGGUCUGAGAGGAUGACCAGCCAAACUGGAACUGAGACACGGUCCAGACUCCUACGGGAGGCAGCAGUGGGGAAUAUUGCACAAUGGGCGCAAGCCUGAGGCAGCCAUGCCGCGUGUCUGAAGAAGGCCUUCGGGUUGUAAAGUACUUUCAGCGAGGAGGCGUUACUCGCAGAAGAAGCACCGGCUAACUCCGUGCCAGCAGCCGCGGUAAUAC
rnacentral:rRNA from 1 species